rnacentral:rRNA from 1 species
UACGUAGGGUGCAAGCGUUAAUCGGAAUUACUGGGCGUAAAGCGUGCGCAGGCGGUUUUGUAAGUCUGAUGUGAAAUCCCCCGGGCUCAACCUGGGAAUUGCAUUGGAGACUGCAAGGCUAGAAUCUGGCAGAGGGGGGUAGAAUUCCACGUGUAGCAGUGAAAUGCGUAGAGAUGUGGAGGAACACCGAUGGCGAAGGCAGCCCCCUGGGUCAAGAUUGACGCUCAUGCACGAAAGCGUGGGGAGCAAACAGG